rnacentral:piRNA from 1 species
UGGCCUUCCAUGGCUGCCACCAGGG